AGCGUAUUUCUCACUGGGCUUUUAUUGGAUUUAACUUGCAUAGGAAUACAGAGUGUAUACAUAAAACUUGUCAAUCAUUGUCAGGCAGAAGUGGUCAAAUAAUAGAUAACAUUCAAAGAAC